GGCCCUGUGGCGCAAUGGAUAGCGCAUUGGACUUGUAGGUCAUUCAAAGGUUGUGGGUUCAAGUCCCACCAGGGUCA